rfam:Picea glauca, whole genome shotgun sequence.
ACAUGCCUACAACAUAGCGUUAAUGCAUCGGAUCCAAUUAGAACUCCGCAUUUAAGCAUGCUCGGGCUAGAGUAGUAUUGGGAUGGUUGAUCGUCCAAGAAUUCCCAGUGUUUUACAUGCC